GCCGCGCGCCGCGGCGAGGGCCAGCUGUUCGGGGUCACGACCGCCGUCGUCGACCGGUUCGACGGUGUACAGCCGUUCGAGGCGGCUCCUACGGUG
rnacentral:tRNA from 1 species